GACGAACGCUGGCGGCGUGCUUAACACAUGCAAGUCGAACGGAAAGGCCCUGCUUUUGUGGGGUGCUCGAGUGGCGAACGGGUGAGUAACACGUGAGUAACCUGCCCUUGACUUUGGGAUAACUUCAGGAAACUGGGGCUAAUACCGGAUAGGAGCUCCUGCUGCAUGGUGGGGGUUGGAAAGUUUCGGCGGUUGGGGAUGGACUCGCGGCUUAUCAGCUUGUUGGUGGGGUAGUGGCUUACCAAGGCUUUGACGGGUAGCCGGCCUGAGAGGGUGACCGGCCACAUUGGGACUGAGAUACGGCCCAGACUCCUACGGGAGGCAGCAGUGGGGAAUAUUGCACAAUGGGCGGAAGCCUGAUGCAGCAACGCCGCGUGCGGGAUGACGGCCUUCGGGUUGUAAACCGCUUUCGCCUGUGACGAAGCGUGAGUGACGGUAAUGGGUAAAGAAGCACCGGCUAACUACGUGCCAGCAGCCGCGGUGAUACGUAGGGUGCGAGCGUUGUCCGGAUUUAUUGGGCGUAAAGGGCUCGUAGGUGGUUGAUCGCGUCGGAAGUGUAAUCUUGGGGCUUAACCCUGAGCGUGCUUUCGAUACGGGUUGACUUGAGGAAGGUAGGGGAGAAUGGAAUUCCUGGUGGAGCGGUGGAAUGCGCAGAUAUCAGGAGGAACACCAGUGGCGAAGGCGGUUCUCUGGGCCUUUCCUGACGCUGAGGAGCGAAAGCGUGGGGAGCGAACAGGCUUAGAUACCCUGGUAGUCCACGCUGUAAACGGUGGGUACUAGGUGUGGGGUCCAUUCCACGGGUUCCGUGCCGUAGCUAACGCUUUAAGUACCCCGCCUGGGGAGUACGGCCGCAAGGCUAAAACUCAAAGGAAUUGACGGGGCCCCGCACAAGCGGCGGAGCAUGCGGAUUAAUUCGAUGCAACGCGUAGAACCUUACCUGGGUUUGACAUGGAUCGGGAGUGCUCAGAGAUGGGUGUGCCUCUUUUGGGGUCGGUUCACAGGUGGUGCAUGGCUGUCGUCAGCUCGUGUCGUGAGAUGUUGGGUUAAGUCCCGCAACGAGCGCAACCCUUGUUCACUGUUGCCAGCACGUUAUGGUGGGGACUCAGUGGAGACCGCCGGGGUCAACUCGGAGGAAGGUGGGGAUGACGUCAAGUCAUCAUGCCCCUUAUGUCCAGGGCUUCACGCAUGCUACAAUGGCUGGUACAGAGAGUGGCGAGCCUGUGAGGGUGAGCGAAUCUCGGAAAGACGGUCUCAGUUCGGACUGGGGUCUGCAACUCGACCUCAUGAAGUCGGAGUCGCUAGUAAUCGCAGAUCAGCAACGCUGCGAUGAAUACGUUCCCGGG
rnacentral:rRNA from 1 species